rnacentral:rRNA from 1 species
GAUGAACGCUGGCGGCGUGCCUAAUACAUGCAAGUCGAGCGAACAGACGAGGAGCUUGCUCCUCUGACGUUAGCGGCGGACGGGUGAGUAACAUGUGGAUAACCUACCUAUAAGACUGGGAUAACUUCGGGAAACCGGAGCUAAUACCGGAUAAUAUAUUGAACCGCAUGGUUCAAUAGUGAAAGACGGUUUUGCUGUCACUUCUAGCUGGAUCCGCGCCGCAUUAGCUAGUUGGUAAGGUAACGGCUUAUCAAGGCUACGAUGCGUAGCCGACCUGAGAGAGUGGUCGGCCACACUGGAACUGAGACACGGUCCAGACGCCUACGGGAGGCAGCAGUAGGGAAUCUUCCGCAAUGGGCGAAAACCUGACGGAGCAACGCCGCGUGAGUUAUGAAGAUCUUCGGAUCGUAAAACUCUGUUAUUAGGGAAAAACAAAUGUGUAAGUAACUAUGCACGUCUUGACGGUACCUAAUCAGAAAGCCACGGCUAACUACGUG